rnacentral:tRNA from 1 species
GGGGAUGUAGCUCAGUUGGGAGAGCAUCUGCUUUGCAAGCAGAGGGUCGUCGGUUCGACUCCGAUCAUCUCCACCA